CAGUUCGGAUUGUAGGCUGAAACUCGCCUACAUUUGAAGCUGGNGUUACUAGUAAUCGCAGAUCAGAAUGCUGCGGUGAAUGCGUUCCCGGGUCUUGUACACACCGCCCGUCACACCACGGAAGUUGGGGGCGCCCGAAGCCACUUAGCUAACCCUUUUGGGAAGCGAGUGUCGAAGGUGAAAUCAAUAACUGGGGUGAAGUCGUAACAAGGUAUC
rnacentral:rRNA from 1 species